GAUGAACGCUGGCGGCGUGCCUAAUACAUGCAAGUCGAGCGAACGGACGAGAAGCUUGCUUCUCUGAUGUUAGCGGCGGACGGGUGAGUAAAACGUGGAUAACCUACCUAUAAGACUGGGAUAACUUCGGGAAACCGGAGCUAAUACCGGAUAAUAUUUUGAACCGCAUGGUUCAAAAGUGAAAGACGGUCUUGCUGUCACUUAUAGAUGGAUCCGCGCUGCAUUAGCUAGUUGGUAAGGUAACGGCUUACCAAGGCAACGAUGCAUAGCCGACCUGAGAGGGUGAUCGGCCACACUGGAACUGAGACACGGUCCAGACUCCUACGGGAGGCAGCAGUAGGGAAUCUUCCGCAAUGGGCGAAAGCCUGACGGAGCAACGCCGCGUGAGUGAUAAAGGUCUUCGGAUCGUAAAACUCUGUUAUUAGGGAAGAACAUAUGUGUAAGUAACUGUGCACAUCUUGACGGUACCUAAUCAGAAAGCCACGGCUAACUACGUG
rnacentral:rRNA from 1 species